rnacentral:rRNA from 1 species
AUUGAACGCUGGCGGCAUGCCUUACACAUGCAAGUCGAACGGCAGCACGGGAGCAAUCCUGGUGGCGAGUGGCGAACGGGUGAGUAAUAUAUCGGAACGUGCCCAGUCGUGGGGGAUAACGUAGCGAAAGCUACGCUAAUACCGCAUACGAUCUAUGGAUGAAAGCGGGGGAUCGCAAGACCCCGCGCGAUUGGAGCGGCCGAUAUCAGAUUAGGUAGUUGGUGAGGUAAAGGCUCACCAAGCCGACGAUCUGUAGCUGGUCUGAGAGGACGACCAGCCACACUGGGACUGAGACACGGCCCAGACUCCUACGGGAGGCAGCAGUGGGGAAUUUUGGACAAUGGGCGCAAGCCUGAUCCAGCAAUGCCGCGUGCAGGAUGAAGGCCUUCGGGUUGUAAACUGCUUUUGUACGGAACGAAACGGCGAGCCCUAAUACAGUUUGCUAAUGACGGUACCGUAAGAAUAAGCACCGGCUAACUACGUGCCAGCAGCCGCCGUAA